rnacentral:rRNA from 1 species
GAUGAACGCUAGCGACAGGCUUAACACAUGCAAGUCGAGGGGAAACGACAUCGUAAGCUUGCUUUUGAUGGGCGACGACCGGCGCACGGGGGAGUAACGCGUAUCCAACCUGCGCAUCACUUGGGAAUAACCUUGCGAAAGUAAGACUAAUACCCAAUGACAUCCCACGAAGACAUCUGAAUGGGAUGAAAGAUUUAUCGGUGAUGGAUGGGUCUGCGUCUGAUUAGCUAGGUGGCGAGGUAACGGCCCACCAAGGCAACGAUCAGCAGGGGGUCUGAGAGUAGCGGCCCUCACAGGGUGACUGGGCCCCUGGCCACUGAGCUACGGGCGGCAGCAGUGCGGGAUGCUGGACAGUGGGCGAGUGCCUGAUCCAGCCAAGUAUGGUGCAGGAUCGCCGCCCUAUGGGUUGUAACCUGCUUUUAUAAGGGAAUAUUGUGGGUCUCGUGAGACUUUUUGCAUGUACCUUAUGAAUAAGCACCGGCUAAUUCCGUG